GAACGCACAUUGCGCCCGUUAGUAUUCUGACGGGCAUGCCUGUCCGAGCGUCAUUUCAACCCUCAAGCACGGCUUGGUGUUGGCGGAUUGCGCGCCCUCGCGGCGCUGCAACCGCCCAAAUACAGUGGCGGUCCCGCUGCGGCUCCCUUUGCGUAGUAACUCAACCUCGCACUGGACCGGGCGGCGGCUCGCCGUAAAACCCCAACUAACGAAAUGUUGACCUCGGAUCAGGUAGGAAUACCCGCUGAACUUAAG
rnacentral:misc_RNA from 1 species